rnacentral:rRNA from 1 species
UACGUAGGUGGCAAGCGUUGUCCGGAUUUAUUGGGUUUAAAGGGUGCGUAGGCGGCCCCAUAAGUCAGUGCUGAAAUACUCUAGCUCAACUAGAGGGGUAGCAUUGAUACUGCGGGGCUUGAGUGGAGUCGAGGUAGGCGGAAUUGACGGUGUAGCGGUGAAAUGCUUAGAUAUCGUCAAGAACACCGAUAGUGUAGACAGCUUACUAGGCUUCAACUGACGCUGAGGCACGAAAGUGUGGGGAUCAAACAGG